AUGAGAAAAGGACAUCUAUUUACGUAUUUGUUGUGGCUCCUCGGGACUAUGUUUCCAAAUUCACACUCGGACGUAGUUCUCCCUGGUCUCAUCUACUUUGUAGAGAUUAUGGUAGAUGAAUCUUUACCUCAGCAUCCAAAAUACAGCUUCGGUUCUGCCAUGCUAUGUCAUACAUAUAGAGGCUUGUGUGAUGCCACACAGAAAACUUCGUUCGCAGAAAAAGCUCCGUUACUUUUGUGUGGCCUACGAGUUUCUAUAGUUGUGGUCCUGGGAAUACCUCCAUGUUGGACGACCUCGUAUACUAAACACCAUACAUCGAUACGACUGUAG
rnacentral:rRNA from 1 species